ensembl:misc_RNA Metazoa_SRP Metazoan signal recognition particle RNA
GCUGGGCAUGGUGGUGCAUGCCUGUAAUCCCAGCUACUCAGGAGGCUGAGGCAGGAGAAUUGCCUGAACCCAGGAGGCGGAGGUUGCGGUGAGCCGAGAUUGCGCCAUUGCACUCCAGCCUGGGUAACAAGAGUGAAACUCUGUCUCAAAAAAAAAAAAAAAAAUUUUUUUUUUAUAUGGAGUCUCAUUCUUGUUGUCCAGGCUAGAGUACAGUGGUACGAUCUCAGCUCACUGCAACCCCUGCCUCUGGGUUCAAGUGAUUCUCCUGCCUCAG